ACAAACUACGUCGCCGUAACAACCCCGUAAAGCCCUGUAUGUCUAGGAUUAUUGAUCCUUUCCUCCUAGGUCAGCGGCACGCACUCGGCCACCAGCGGCGGGUGCGCCAGGCCGCCGGCUCACCCUACUGCUCUGCGCGAGCGCCCGCACACCCACACACACAAAAACUCAGGCAAAACGCGAGCAAUUGCAACAGGACGGCGGCGGCAUUAGAAUCUGUUACUACAAUGGUGCAUGUGAGCGCUCGUUUACGAGCGAAUGGAUUGUUUUGCCCUCUUCCAACUUGGUUUCAAUCUCCUACAUGUCAUGUCUUGUUGUUGAUUCUUUACUGAUUUGGGGAUUAUUUUUAGGGUUUGCUGUUGGUGCUGAAUUGAAUUGGGGAAGAAAAGCCGCUACCCCAUAUGCCACUGAUUCCAAUCGAAAAGCUGCUAAAUCUGACUGUUGCUUUCUACCCAUGCUCCAAAUUUUUCAUUAGUCGUAAGAUUUAGUACAUGAGGUUAUUUUGUACACACAUAUGAUUCAGUUUCCGGUCAAUUUGUUUGAUGCUAGGAGCCAAACUGCCUGUUUAGUUUAAGAUGUGAUAUCCCUACUCUGAAAUCACAGUUUGUGUACCUAGCUAAUUUUAACUUAACUAAUCUAAAUGUUAGGAAGGACCGAUGGUUUCUGCAUAUUAGAGAUUUGUCGCUUGACUGAUAAUAUGCCAUAACGGGAUUAGGAAACCCAAAGAAAUUCUUCAGAGUUCUCUUCUGAAAAUGAAGCAGCAGUAGCAUUUGUGAAGAUGAACGAUGAGCUGCUUGAUGGAAGAAAUUCGGGAUUAGGAAACCCAAAGAAAUUCUUCAGAGUUCUCUUCUGAAAUGAAGCAGCAAUAGCAUUUGUGAAGAUGAACAAUGAGCUGCUUGAUGGAAGAAAUUAACAUACAUUGAUGCAAACAACGGACACUAUGAUCUACACAGCGAGUCAUUUCUUCUUUCCCUAAGAAAAAUAUCAUUUCUUCAAUCUGGAAUAUGUGAUGUUAAAUUGAGCACUUGAAAUGUGCCAUGGAUUUCAUACAUUUGCAUGGCCACCAAUGCGCAGUUUAAGUUCAAUAUUAUGCCCACUACCAUAGCGGGACACAGAUCUAUCUGUGUAGUUACACUUAGAAUUGUAGAUUCUCUAUACUGGAGUUCAAAUGUUAAAUCCAGUAUUUUAUGUCAUUAGUCUACUUCACGCCACAGCUCUUAAUUUUUCACCCAUAGUCGAUCAUUUAAAUAUUUUCCGUAUCUAUAUUCUACUUUACGGGUUUGGAAAAGAUUUGUAAAAUCUC